AUGGGGAAGCUCCUUAUGGAGCGAAGUCUUUGAUUCCCCGCUGCCAAGAAAAGCUUCUAGCGAGAUAAAAGGUGCCUGUACCGCAAACCGACACAGGUAGGCGAGGAGAGAAUCCUAAGGUGUGCGAGAGAACUCUGGUUAAGGAACUCGGCAAAAUGACCCCGUAACUUCGGGAGAAGGGGUGCUUUCUUAACGGAAAGCCGCAGUGAAUAGGCCCAAGCGACUGUUUAGCAAAAACACAGCUCUCUGCGAAGCCGUAAGGCGAAGUAUAGGGGGUGACACCUGCCCGGUGCUGGAAGGUUAAGGAGAGGGGUUAGCGUAAGCGAAGCUCUGAACUGAAGCCCCAGUAAACGGCGGCCGUAACUAUAACGGUCCUAAGGUAGCGAAAUUCCUUGUCGGGUAAGUUCCGACCCGCACGAAAGGUGUAACGAUUUGGGCACUGUCUCAACCAGAGACUCGGUGAAAUUAUAGUACCUGUGAAGAUGCAGGUUACCCGCGACAGGACGGAAAGACCCCGUGGAGCUUUACUGUAGCCUGAUAUUGAAUUUUGGUACAGUUUGUACAGGAUAGGCGGGAGCCUUUGAAACCGGAGCGCUAGCUUCGGUGGAGGCGCUGGUGGGAUACCGCCCUGACUGUAUUGAAAUUCUAACCUACGGGUCUUAUCGACCCGGGAGACAGUGUCAGGUGGGCAGUUUGACUGGGGCGGUCGCCUCCUAAAGUGUAACGGAGGCGCCCAAAGGUUCCCUCAGAAUGGUUGGAAAUCAUUCGUAGAGUGCAAAGGCAUAAGGGAGCUUGACUGCGAGACCUACAAGUCGAGCAGGGACGAAAGUCGGGCUUAGUGAUCCGGUGGUUCCGCAUGGAAGGGCCAUCGCUCAACGGAUAAAAGCUACCCCGGGGAUAACAGGCUUAUCUCCCCCAAGAGUCCACAUCGACGGGGAGGUUUGGCACCUCGAUGUCGGCUCAUCGCAUCCUGGGGCUGUAGUCGGUCCCAAGGGUUGGGCUGUUCGCCCAUUAAAGCGGUACGCGAGCUGGGUUCAGAACGUCGUGAGACAGUUCGGUCCCUAUCCGUCGUGGGCGUAGGAAAUUUGAGAGGAGCUGUCCUUAGUACGAGAGGACCGGGAUGGACGCACCGCUGGUGUACCAGUUGUUCUGCCAAGGGCAUAGCUGGGUAGCUAUGUGCGGAAGGGAUAAGUGCUGAAAGCAUCUAAGCAUGAAGCCCCCCUCAAGAUGAGAUUUCCCAUAGCGUAAGCUAGUAAGAUCCCUGAAAGAUGAUCAGGUUGAUAGGUUCGAGGUGGAAGCAUGGUGACAUGUGGAGCUGACGAAUACUAAUAGAUCGAGGACUUAACCAU
rnacentral:rRNA from 1 species